GCCUUCGGGUUGUAAACCUCUUUCAGUAGGGAAGAAGCCUUUCGGGGUGACGGUACCUGCAGAAGAAGCGCCGGCUAACUACGUGCCAGCAGCCGCGGUAAUACGUAGGGCGCAAGCGUUGUCCGGAAUUAUUGGGCGUAAAGAGCUCGUAGGCGGUUUGUCGCGUCUGGUGUGAAAACUCAAGGCUCAACCUUGAGCUUGCAUCGGGUACGGGCAGACUAGAGUGUGGUAGGGGAGGCUGGAAUUCCUGGUGUAGCGGUGGAAUGCGCAGAUAUCAGGAGGAACACCGAUGGCGAAGGCAGGUCUCUGGGCCACUACUGACGCUGAGGAGCGAAAGCAUGGGUAGCGAACAGGAUUAGAUACCCUGGUAGUCCAUGCCGUAAACGUUGGGCACUAGGUGUGGGAUCCAUUCCACGGGUUCUGUGCCGCAGCUAACGCAUUAAGUGCCCCGCCUGGGGAGUACGGCCGCAAGGCUAAAACUCAAAGGAAUUGACGGGGGCCCGCACAAGCGGCGGAGCAUGCGGAUUAAUUCGAUGCAACGCGAAGAACCUUACCAAGGCUUGACAUACACCGGAAGACCCUAGAGAUAGGGUUCUCUUUGGACACUGGUGUACAGGUGGUGCAUGGUUGUCGUCAGCUCGUGUCGUGAGAUGUUGGGUUAAGUCCCGCAACGAGCGCAACCCUUGUCCUAUGUUGCCAGCACGUG
rnacentral:rRNA from 1 species